GAUCAGCUGCGCCAGUGUCUCGUGCGUGAUUCUGACAGCGAGUUCGUGGCGUUUGUUUCCCGAAUCGUAAACAACGACGUUACCCACUCAAGUGGCAAUUGCUCCGCUGUGAAUAAUUGCUACUUCUUGAUCGAAUCCUUGCCGCCUUCCUCGUAUAAUGACCGAAGGGUUGGAUCACGACGAAGUUCACAUAUCGACACCCGAGUUAAUAAGACUGCACGGUUAUCCAGCCGAGACUCAUCACGCCUGGACGAAAGAUGGAUAUCGUCUUGAAAUGCAUCGUGUGCCCCGGCCUUUGUCCGAGAGGAUACCCAUUGGCACAACUGCAACGGACGAGGAUAGUCCAGUACAGUCGGGAUCGAGUGAGGAUUUAUCAUCAGCUGCCGGAAGACCCAGGCCAACAAGGGUCUUGAACGACAGGUUGCCUGUACUUGUUCUUCACGGUCUUCUGUCCAGUUCCGCGGACUUUGUUCUUCUCGGACCACAAAAGGCUCUCGCUUACGCAUUGUGUGACAGUGGUUAUGACGUUUGGCUUGGAAACUCCCGAGGAAAUGCAUACUCCCAGAUUCAUAAACAGUACACGAUCAAAGACAAGCAGUUUUGGGACUUUAGAAAUUGUCCGGUUUCCGCAAGUUGGCACGAGAUGGGCUACUACGAUCUUCCAGCGAUGAUCGACUACAUCCUCGAAGUUACCGGGCACACGUCGAUGUACUACGUCGGUUACAGCCAAGGUACGACGAUUUUCUAUGUAAUGGCGAGUGAGCUACCGGAGUAUAACUCGAAGAUCAGGGCUAUGGUCAGUCUUGCGCCAAUCGCCUUUCUGGCGCAUCAAAGAAGUCCGCUGAUCAAGUGCACCGUACACUUUUACAAUCUUAUGGAGUGGGGUUCUUCGUACUGCAACAUUCACCAGUGGUUUCCGCGAAACAAGCUCCAGGCCCGCGCUCUGGGUACGCUGAUACGCAAUGCUCCUGGGCCAUUGACAAAGGGCGUGUGCACAUCAUGGCUUUACCUUAUUGCUGGAUUUGGCAGCAAUCAACUAGACAAAGCGAUGUUACCUCUAAUUUUUGGCCACUUUCCCGCCGGCUCGUCGUACAAGCAGAUUAUUCACUACGGACAAAGCGUUCAGUCAGGGUCUUUUCAAAAAUUUGACUACGGGAAAAAGAAGAACCUGGAAAUUUAUGGUAGCAUUCAACCGCCCAAAUACAACCUUGAUAAAGUCAAAGUCCCUGUCACGAUAUUUUACAGCGAGAACGACUUCAUGACUGAUCCACGCGAUGUGGCGCGGCUAGCGGAUAAACUACCCAACGUUAUCGAGAAGUACAAGAUCCCUUAUGCCAAAUUUAAUCACAUCGAUUACCUGUGGGGUGUAGAUGCCAAAACCCUCGUGUACAACUACGUAAUAAAAAUUCUGAAACGGUCGUAGCAUCGAAUUGUAUAAUAGGUAUGCAUCGAAAGUGAACAAUCCCAUGUAAUGCGAGAACGAAGAUGAAGGACACGAUGGAUGUCGCAUCUUCCAGACUGCGCUUAUCAUGAACCCGAUUGAGGUCUUACCAACUUGGUCAAGGCAAGUUUCGAUGACAUUUUGAUUGCGCUACCACGAAGCAGCUGCAUAUUGUUAUUUGACAUAUGUUAUAUCUUCCGUAUUUGCAUUAUGAUUCAUCUCCGACCCUGGUCGUGCCCAGGCCCUGUGUACCUAGUUGGAGAAUCACUAGGAAAUUAGCUCACCGUUAGGGACAACAUGUAACUCAUAUCUAUUGUACGAUUUUUACAGCAUAGAAUUUUCCUAUCCACGCUCUAUAAACUAACACUCUGUAAACUAUAGCUCUCAAAUAAUGACACAUUUCGCUCUCUGGCAUACCAGCGAACAAUUUUUCAUACGUCUCCCAAUAAUUAUUCAUAAUCACUGGAGAUUUUUAGAUGUUGAAAAUUUAAUGAUCAGCUAAGCUAACAUGUUGCGAUGGCGAUGGAAACUGGAACAAACCGUCAUGUAAUGGCUGAAAUUUAAUUCUUAUUAGUAAAGACUAAUUACUAUGGCUUUAAAAAUGUAUGGUCAGUUCCACGUUGAAUUAAUCCAUGACUGCAAUGUAUGGAUAAAUCAUCAAGCUUUUAUGAUUAAGCUACCUGGAAACUAGACCGCAAAAAUUCGAAAUAGGCAGCAUGGUGAGCAGAAAAGGGAUAGAAACAAGGUAUCCUACAAGGAGGCAUUCACUCGGCCAUGUUGUUCAACAUCUAUAUCAAUGAAGUAAGCGAUGCAAAGAUGCCGGGUUCAGAAGUAAUUGCGAACGCGCAUCAUACAGUAAUCGUGACAGAAGCCAAGACAUGGAAAAAAGCUUUCUCAAUUACAUUCAUUGGUACCCUGCAUGAAAUCAGGGUUGUCGACCUAAUUUUACGAUCGGAAUCGAUUACGUGCAAUUCGAAUACGCUGUAAACAACGGGUCGAGAAAUACAGCCGAAAGACAAGAGUACUUGGUAUUUUUCGAGCUGUUCUGCAUGUUUAUUUUGGAUUUUUAAGAGUACGAUUAGUGUUCAUAUAUCGUAAAGAAGAGAGGCUUAUUAUUUACAACGGGAUCGUAAGUUACGAUCGAAAUAUAUGAAAUUUGCGACGGGUUCUCGAGAAGGUGGGGAGAAAAAAUCACAAUCUCUUCAGUCGAUGUUUUAGUUUAUUCAAUAUGUCUUAAUUCAAGUACAUGUGUUUGAGUGUCAGUGUGUAUUGAUUUAACAAGUUAAAAAUAACAGAGAAAGUGCAUUACAAAUCUGAUUCUUAUAUAACGACCUGAGUGUGCAGCAUACACUGCCUUUAGCAUAAUAUGAAAAUCCUUUAUCAGAUAGUGAUGAUCAUAAUUAUAACGUGGAACGUGAGUAUCAGCAUGCUGGAUGUCAUCUGGAAUAUUGCAUGACCUCUAUUUUAUAUGACCUGUAUUUCAAUUAAUAAAUAAUCAAUUUUCAACACA
rnacentral:misc_RNA from 1 species